rnacentral:piRNA from 1 species
UUAUUUAAAAAGGAUACAAGGGGCCAGA